UACAUGUGGGGCAAGCGUUGUUCGGAAUUACUGGGCCUAAAGGGUGCGUAGGCGGUUUGUUAAGUCAUUGGUGAAAGUUUGCGGCCCAACCGUAAAAUUGCCUGUGAUACUGGCGAACUUGAGUGCGUGAGGGGUAGGGGGAACGAGCAGUGUAGCGGUGAAAUUCGUAGAUAUUCGGAAGAACACCAGUGGCGAAGGCGACUCGCUGGACAAGUAUUGACGCUGAGGCGCGAAAGCGUGGGGAGCAAACAGG
rnacentral:rRNA from 1 species